rnacentral:rRNA from 1 species
CUACGGGCUGCUCCAGUGGGGAAUAUUGGACAAUGGGGGAAACCCUGAUGCAGCAACGCCGCGUGGAGGAUGACGCAUUUCGGUGUGUAAACUCCUUUUAUGAGUCAAGAAAAUGACGGUAGCUCAUGAAUAAGCACCGGCUAACUCCGUGCCAGCAGCCGCGGUAAUACGGAGGGUGCAAGCGUUACUCGGAAUCACUGGGCGUAAAGGACGCGUAGGCGGGUUGUCAAGUCAGGUGUGAAAUCCUACAGCUUAACUGUAGAACUGCACUUGAAACUUCUAAUCUAGAGUAUGGGAGGGGGAGAUGGAAUUAGUGGUGUAGGGGUAAAAUCCGUAGAUAUCACUAGGAAUACCUAAAGCGAAGGCGAUCUCCUGGAACAUUACUGACGCUAAGGCGUGAAAGCGUGGGGAGCAAACAGGAUUAGAUACCCCGGUAGUC